AUGGCCGGCCCAAGAGCAUUGCACAGCAGAAGUGCUGAUAACACUGGCAAGAAGAUCAAGGCAGACUCAGUGGUUCUGAUACACCUCCAAGGAAAGAAAUCAUCUGGGAAAAGUCAUCUUAGAAAAAAGUGUAACUUGCAGAAUCAUGGAAUGGCAUUCCCUAUAAGAAGAUUUUUAGGAAUUUCAUAUUUGCUGAUAGAAUACGUUGAAGAAAAAAGGAAAUUUCCAAAGGUCCUGACAAACAUCAAGAUUGAAUACAAAAAGAAGAAAACUCCGUUGGUACUAACCCCCAUGUCAUUAUGGAAAUAUCUUCUGAGAAGCUCCUCCUGGAGGUAG
rnacentral:lncRNA from 1 species